rnacentral:rRNA from 1 species
CCUACGGGUGGCAGCAGUGGGGGAUAUUGGACAAUGGGGGGAACCCUGAUCCAGCGACGCCGCGUGCGUGAAGAAGUAUUUCGGUAUGUAAAGCUCUGUCAGCAGGGAAGAAAGAAAUGACGGUACCUGACCAUGAAGCCCCGGCUAACUACGUGCCAGCAGCCGCGGUAAUACGUAGGGGGCAAGCGUUAUCCAGAAUUACUGGGUGUACAGGGAGCGUAGACGGUUAAGUAAGUCUGGAGUGAAAGGCAGGGGCUCAACCCCGGGACUGCUCUGGAAACUAUUUAACUUGAGUGCAGGAGAGGUAAGCGGAAUUCCUAGUGUAGCGGUGAAAUGCGUAGAUAUUAGGAGGAACACCAGUGGCGAAGGCGGCUUACUGGACUGUAACUGACGUUGAGGCUCGAAAGCGUGGGGAGCAAACAGGAUUAGAUACCCUGGUAGUC